CCCACUCCGGACGUAUCCACGCAACCGACAUUGUUCCUCGAAGUUGCCCACGCGUUGUAUUUAGAUUCAAUUUUUCUUAAACAUUUACACUAGAUUACCUCAGUUACCUUUUUAUUAACUAUUACGUAUCUAGUCUUACGUACCGUGUUAAAAGGUGUGUCACAAUGAAACCAGGACGAUCAAAGCUUAUGUUAAAACUGGUGGAAGAAAGAAGCAAAAAUGCACAAAUUACGAAUUUUACUCAUGAAGAGUGCACUGAUGAGGAGGACUGUAUACCAGGUACUCCAGGUGAAAAUCGCCGGAUCCCCACCCGCGCGGCAGGUGGGGUAUGUGGGAGUUGAACCUCACUAAAAACUCCUGCCGCUCACAACCGGCGCCCUAUCUCGGACCGGGCCGGAGCCCAGUCGGGGCUAUUGAAACGGCGGGACAGGGUUGACGCAGAGCACAUUACAUCCAUCCCACCGUCCCACGGACGCCGGACCGGUGGCCGCCAGCGACACGACCACCGGUUCCCUCGUUCAGCGGGCCGAGAGCCCGAGUCUUGGGAUAAGUAUGACGGAAGCACUUUGAUUGAAGAAGACAUGAGGGGGAAACAUAAAAAUCAUAAUCGGAUUGUUGACGAUGAAAUGGUAAUGUGGGUUUGCACCCACGUUAAAUCAUUUGUACCAGUAGAGUCGCAUUAUAGAGCAGCGUCCUAAUGGCUGUAUUUAGGUGACUUCGGUGACUUCAGCAUCGGUCGGAUGUUCAAUUUAUACAAAGAAUUGUCUGAACUCCAGCCUUAAAGAAAGCUUAUGUAGGUCUAAUUCCAAUCAGUAAUGAUAAAUAUAACAAUCUUAUUAGUCUUUGCAAUUCCUCAAUAAUACCCAAGAAAUAUCAUAAAUUUUUCAGAAGUUUAACUCAUGGACGUAAUGUUACUGAAGCUGGUAAUGAAUCCGACUGAAUAAUUGUGCACUAGGGUUUUUUUUUAUAAUUUUAGUUAUUUUAUUGUUAUUAUUUUGAUCUCUGAAGUUGUGAUUGUUAAGAUUUUUUUCAUUUUAAUAAAUGUUUUUUUCUUUUCUUUAUAAUUAAAUUCUAUAUAAUGAUUAGUAUUUAAAUUUUUAGGUUAGUAAUUUAACAAAAAAUCAGUAAUCAUAUCCAAAUAGAGUCAACAUUAUAGUCUGCUUAGUCUAUAUAGUAAUAAAAGAAUACCUACUAUUGAUAAUAAAUACUUAAUUUAAGCAUAAUGUAUAUCAUGUUGAUUAAAAAAGAGUAAGACCAA